UACGGGGGGGGCAAGCGUUGUUCGGAAUUACUGGGUUUAAAGGGCGCGUAGGCGGCCUUCUAAGUCGAGCGUGAAAUCCCUGGGCUCAACCCAGGAACUGCGUCCGAUACUGGAAGGCUUGAAUCCGGGAGAGGGAUGCGGAAUUCCAGGUGUAGCGGUGAAAUGCGUAGAUAUCUGGAGGACCACCGGUGGCGAAGGCGGCAUCCUGGACCGGUAUUGACGCUGAGGCGCGAAAGCCAGGGGAGCAAACGGG
rnacentral:rRNA from 1 species